rnacentral:rRNA from 1 species
UACGUAGGGUGCGAGCGUUAAUCGGAAUUACUGGGCGUAAAGCGUGCGCAGGCGGUGCUGUAAGGCCGAUGUGAAAUCCCCGGGCUUAACCUGGGAACUGCAUUGGUGACUGCAGCGCUGGAGUAUGGCAGAGGGGGGUGGAAUUCCACGUGUAGCAGUGAAAUGCGUAGAGAUGUGGAGGAACACCGAUGGCGAAGGCAGCCCCCUGGGCCAAUACUGACGCUCAUGCACGAAAGCGUGGGGAUCAAACAGG